rnacentral:rRNA from 1 species
AUUGAACGCUGGCGGCAGGCCUAACACAUGCAAGUCGAGCGGAUGAAGGGAGCUUGCUCCUGGAUUCAGCGGCGGACGGGUGAGUAAUGCCUAGGAAUCUGCCUGGUAGUGGGGGAUAACGUCCGGAAACGGGCGCUAAUACCGCAUACGUCCUGAGGGAGAAAGUGGGGGUUCUUCGACCCUCACGCUUUCAAUUAACCCUAGGUCGGAUUAGCUAGUUGGUGGGGUAAAGGCCUACCAAGGCGACGAUCCGUAACUGGUCUGAGAGGAUGAUCAGUCACACUGGAACUGAGACACGGUCCAGACUCCUACGGGAGGCAGCAGUGGGGAAUAUUGGACAAUGGGCGAAAGCCUGAUCCAGCCAUGCCGCGUGUGUGAAGAAGGUCUUCGGAUUGUAAAGCACUUUAAGUUGGGAGGAAGGGCAGUAAGUUAAUACCUUGCUGUUUUGACGUUACCAACAGAAUAAGCACCGGCUAACUUCGUG